rnacentral:rRNA from 1 species
CCCUUAGAUGUUCUGGGCCGCACGCGCGCUACACUGAAGGGAUCAGCGUGUUUUCCCUUCCCGAGAGGGACGGGUAACCCGCUGAACCCCCUUCGUGGUAGGGAUCGGAGCUUGCAAUUGUUCUCCGUGAACCAGGAAUUCCCAGUAAGCGCAAGUCAUAAGCUUGCGUUGAUUACGUCCCUGCCCUUGUACACACCGCCCGUCGCUACUACCGAUUGAACGUUUUAGUGAGGUAUUUGGACUGGGCCUUGGGAGGUUUCGGCCUCCCUUGUUGCUCGGAAAGACUCCCAAACUUGAGCGUUUAGAGGAAGUAAAAGUCGUAACA